rnacentral:rRNA from 1 species
GACGAACGCUGGCGGCGUGCUUAACACAUGCAAGUCGAACGGAAAGGCCCUGCUUUUGUGGGGUGCUCGAGUGGCGAACGGGUGAGUAACACGUGAGUAACCUGCCCUUGACUUUGGGAUAACUUCAGGAAACUGGGGCUAAUACUGGAUAGGAGCUCCUGCUGCAUGGUGGGGGUUGGAAAGUUUCGGCGGUUGGGGAUGGACUCGCGGCUUAUCAGCUUGUUGGUGGGGUAGUGGCUUACCAAGGCUUUGACGGGUAGCCGGCCUGAGAGGGUGACCGGGCACAUGGGGACUGCGGUACGGCCCAGACUCCUACGGGAGGCAGCAGGGGGGAAUAUUGCACAAUGGGCGGAAGCCUGAUGCAGCGACGCCGCGUGCGGGAUGACGGCCUUCGGGUUAUAAACCGCUGUCGCAGGUGACGAAGCGUGAGUGACGGUAAUGGGUAAAGAAGCACCGGCUAACUACGUG